UGAAGGAAGAGGGAAGGUGGCGUUAGGAGGAGCCUUCCUUCAGGGGCGACUGACCGAGGGCCGACGUGCAGUCUACAUCGCAGGGAAUACGUGAGGACGAACCUAAAGGCUGUGAGGACGCGAAGAGAGGUCCUGCCUCAGGCGACUGACGCAGCUCGGCUGAAGUCUCCCAUCUCGAGACGGCCACGUUGACUCAGGGCGCCUCCACCUCCCGCCGUCCUUUUUGUCAUUUUUUCCCCUCAGGGUCGCUCACCACAAGAUACCGGGCUCCAGGAAGACGCCCAGCCACCCUUCAGCACCUCACGAACUCUACGCGCCACAAAUUCAAAUACGAGGGCUGGAGUCGCGCCGCCCCAAACGUCUCGUAGAGUGAGGCAGAGAUCGACCAAUCAAAGCCAGACUAGCGCCAGACGCCCAAGUCGGUGGGCGUGGCGAGGGAAAUAAGGGCGGGACGAUACUCUGUUGCCAAGACGACGGCUUCCGGGUGGGCGGGCCAAGGUGACUUGUGGCCGGAAGACGAGACUCCGCGGGAAAAGCAGCCUUGCCAAGCUGAAGGAGGAGCUGGAGGGCUGAGGCAGGUUCCUCGAGAGUAAAGGUGGGCGUGCGGUGGGGUCCCGCCACAGGCCUGCGUUUCCUUUACCCUUCUCUGUCAUCAAACGAUAUUCCUGUCCAGUUACAAAGUGCAAGUUGUUGCCCUAAGAUUAAUUUAUUUAUUUAUGAGAGAGACGGAGAGAGAGAGAGGCAGACACACAGGAAGCCUGAUACGGUACUCCAUCCCAGACCCCAGGAUCAUGCCCUGAGCUGAAGGUAGACGCUCAACCGCUGAGCCACCCAGGCGUCACUCUACCGUGAUUUUUAAAGAUAAUAUUAGGGAAAGCUGGGGAAAAGCUGAGAUGGAGUAACAAAGACCAGACUUACCUUCCCAGCUGAAACAACUAAAAAGACAAGAUAAAAUACAUGAAAGAAUGGUUCUCCAGUCACUUAACGUUACACAGUGAAGGACAGUGAUUGCUGAGAGAUGAAAAAUAAACAGAGCUCAAGGCAAUCCCAGAAGACUCAAAGAAGAACUUUGUGCAGAGGAAGCUCCUGGAGAGAGACAGCUAAAUCAGUGCCCUGAAAUGCCUCCAAUGCUCUAGAAGGUCUUAAUAAUUAAGUCCUCAGAGAUGGCGUCAAGAAUGACACUAACCAGGCUGCUUUCCUGCCUCUUCCAAACUGGAGUUCCCGUCUCGAUCUGGAAUAGCUGCUGGGAGAAACAUGCUGCUGGGCAUCACCAUCUCAGGGGUGGUCACCUGAGGAGUAAGAGGCAGAGAAAUGAGGAGAGUCAAAUGGAGAGGAAAGAGACACAAAAUAGGGAAAUGUGUAAAAAUUAUUUAAUAAGCAAAAUUAGCCUUCACCAGUGUAAAGCUGGAAGUGUCACUUUUCAUAGCUCACUGAAGAUUCAUGUUUAUUAGACAAAGCUCACAUCAGUCAAAAGUGUUUCUACGGUUACAUUCUGGACAUAAUUAGCAGUGCACACUUGAAGAAUAAUCUUAUUAUUAAUAUUUUUCCUUUAUGCAGAAUUUUGACUUUGAUCACUGACAAUGUUUUGUCAUGGGCUGUGAAACUUCUUGUGCAACCAAUUAGGUAGAUAAGUUGAAAGGCCCACCUUAAGCUGCUGAAAACAUAAUAAGGGCCCUAAUUAAAUCAUACCUAGUAAAGUACACUGUAAUCUUGAAGCAGGGAGCAUUGUAGUACUGUUUUCAAAAUGUAUUCAGGCAAGAAGAGGAGGGGAAUAAGAGCGAAGGAAAGGGUAAGAAGAAAAGAAGAGAACAAAGAGAAGGCUAAGGACACGCAGACACAUUGGCAGAUUCUCCAGGAAACAACAUUUUGUAACCCUUUAGAAGCUAGAUCGAGUGCAAAUGAACAUUUCUUACAGCUCACUUCAACCAGAAUUUCUUCUAGAAUCUUUGCUUGAGGUGCUCAGCAUCAGAGGGAGCAUCUGGCCAGUGUCCCAGCCACAAAGGGUACCCUGCACAGCAUUUAACAUUAGGGCAGCCCCACCUUCACCAUGGCUAUUGUUUGUUUGCUAAUACGGCAAUUCCAGAAUCAGCCUGGAUCAGGUUAGAUCCUUGGAUAUUUUUCUCUAGGCUUCUCUGACAUGUGGCCAGAAGUUUGUCUGAAGAAGUUAUCGUUUGUUCCACAUUUACAUGAUAAGCAGCCCUCAAAUUCAACAUAAGAAUUAAAGAUUCUUCAUUUUAAAAGAAGUAAUAUUCCUUUGCCUGCUAUAGGGUGGAGGGCUAGUAGGUGAUGAUCUUGCUAAAUGAAUAAGAAAUGGUCUCCUGUUGGAUGACAGUCUGAGAAAUGAACUGAACAGAAACUUCACUCACACCACUAACCUUUCUACAUGGUGUCCAGCCCUACCUGAAGGAAUAAUUUUCCCAUCAAACUCAGGUAUCUUGAUAAUAUCUUCACUUGCUGUUGCGAAGAUUGGAACAUCUAGAUUACUGCUCAAAAUUAAAUAAAUUAGUAUUAAUUUUUAAUGGUUUGAAGAUCCUGGACUUGCUCAAAAUAGCUUGCUGACAUGUUCCCUAGAAGCAUCGGUGAAAGGCUCCAGUGCUAGGGGAAACCCAGACAGCUGUCCCCAUGAACACCAAAAAGGUAACUCCUCAGUACAUUUAGGGGUUCAGCAACCCAGAUGCUUGUAGGUACAAACAUUAAGCAACAGGCACUAUGGAGAAAGGUUCUGAGAAAGCUCGUGUUUCUGAAGAGCAGGUGCAUGGCAGGUGAAUGUGUGUGACAGAGAAUUCCUGCUCACAGACAUCUGCACCCUCACACAAAGCUCGUCAGCAGCUGGUUAAGGCUAGCUGUUGAUGAAUCGUUAGGAAUGGAGCAGAGAUUGCCAAACUCAUUCCAUCUAUUUUCUUUUUAAUAGAAAGCAUUUCUGACCAGUAUGGUUGGGGAGUCCAGCGGGAAUCCAAGAAGUGAAAGGUCACCGAUUAAUUUAUAGUCCUCAGCCAAGGGGGAGCACGAGGUUGGGGGCAGGAGGGGGAGAAAGGGAAAGGAAAAAAGACUUCCCCCCCACCUCCUUUCUCGGUUGUAGCUGCAGGAUCAGUCCUUUCCAGGGAUCUUUAGGAAUUAUGAAAAAUGAAUCAUGAGAAAUAAAAAAAAAAAAAGCCCUACAGAGUAAAAAAGAAUAAAA